CAAAGAUAAAUCGCACGAGUGUGCUUCGUCAACCUCUGGCUUCUUCCCAUGGACGUACGAAGGCGAGGCAGAAGAAGCCCAGACUGUGUAUACAUCGUCCAUCGAGGCGCAAAGCUCUCAGACACACACUGCGCCCUGCAGAAACUGUCGCAGCUUGAUUUUGUUCUUUUGAGUUUGGAGCACGAUGGAGUCAUCUCUCCUCCGAGGGGUGAUGGCCGGUUCAUCAUCAGAAGAGCUUGUGAUGAGAUCGUGAUCCUUCCAACCAACAUGUUGCAGGAAGAACCCAAGCUACUCUGCCGUAACACCCCACUCUUGCCUCUGUGCCUUACGAAAACCUUUUGUUUGGUUCGGGAUUUGUCCUUCUUGAUGUUGCUGUUUGGGCGGAUUUGGUGGAAGUUCAACAUAUGAUAUCAGUCGCUCAAUCAUGCGAUGUAUCAACUCUAACCUCAUUCCGACUCAAUCAUUGCUCUCUUCUGCAGCUAAUAUAGUCUACACUUACCAACCGGGUUUGAUGUCCAUCUUCUCUCACAUAUGAUGUCUUUUCCAGCCUUUCUAUCACCCAACGAAAAGGGUUGCAAGAAUUAAUCAGCUACAUCCAACCUAUAUUUGUUUGACAUUUCUGUGCCACAUUGCUUUUUGACUCCGUACGUUGACGCCGAAGGAGUCCUGCUCUAGUGGAAGCCAUUGCAUAUCUUAAGCAUCAGCCGUGGAAUACAACGCCAUUGCCAACUUUCUGCUGAAUAACUUGCAUUAUCCACCGUUCCACCUCGAGCUCCUCAAUGGAUUCCAUGACAAAUAUUGCAGACCAACAUCCCGCCAGACACUUGGUUCCUUUUUGAUGUGGAGGCAAACAUGUAGAGUGCGUUUUGGCUCUGACUGCACUCUGUCUGACACCGACACAGCUUACACGAGACCGUGACGAAGGAAACCAAAAACCUCAUUGUGUUACCAUCAUAUACGUACCCAUCUGUCACAGCACGACACUCAGCGCCCAGAAGGAAGAAAGGAAACACUGGAAUGGUGUUUUGAGGCGGUGUUCUGAUAGAAGCACGUAUCUUGGGAAUCUAUUUGGGCCGGCCCAUCAUCGGAGCUGAUGUGGUUCGGGUCAAAAUCGUGAUCAACCGCGGGCCCAAUUUGUUUGGAUAGCAGAUCAUGCGGAUGGCGAUGAUAACCCGACCCGAUUCGCUCCCAUGACGGAUCCGACUUGCCAUCCGCGAAGGAAUGAGUGUUGGCGACGAGAAGCCGCGGAGCACAGCACCAGGGAGGGUUGCUGAGUCGUCGUCAUACACUAGUCAAGGUCCGAUCUUUGUCCCCUUCUUUCCCCUCUCUCUCUCUCUCUGCAAGCGCGCUGUUUGAUCCACCGGCGGUGCCAUUGGAGCACAAGAUUCGAAUACAAGAUUAAAGCAAUAUUGAGGGGUUUGAUGAUCUUCGACGAAUUCAAAUCCACCCGGAUGUAGCAUAACCUUGGCGAGACCGGUGGAAAAGGAUACGCGGAUCCGUCUUCUGACCGGAUGACGGGAAACACAGGAUAUGGAUACGCUUCGUGAAGGAAGAUGCUGCGAUCCCGAAUCUCCGAUCGGCAAAGUUGAACGUAAUAAUUGAAAUUGGCUCCCAGCCGCUCAAAGUGGAAACGUUUUUGGGGCUUUUAAUCGGCUCGAUUGCUCUUCAUGAAAUGUCUUUAAAAAAGAGGAUUUUUUAUGUGGGGAAUUAAAAUGGUUGGCUUUGAGGGUUUAGAUUCUGAUGAGGACCCGUGAGGGUGGAAAGGCAGAGGUUUUGGUCGUAUUUACAGGGAAAUAUCACGGGCACUAUAGUCAUUUCAUUCAUAAGGAAAUGUUUCUUCGAUACUAGGGUUUUGGUUCCCGAUAACCCUCCGAGAAACCCAUUAAUGGCGGCUCCGCAGAACCUUCCCCUAUGGAGCGCCGCGCCGCGCCCCGAAGAGUAGCCUUUGAGCUUGCGAAAGAAGAAUAGUAGAGGAGGUGGAAGCAGCUGUCUGAAUAAUGGCGUGUGUCCUCGCAGCAUGCCCUCUCCCCUUCCUCAGUGGGCAGACGGAUUGCAAGAUUAUGAUUUUUCAACCUAGUAUCUCUCGCCUAAAUUGUUCAAGACUGCAGAAGUGGUGUAUUUCAGCAGUCUCCAGGAAAAAAUCACGACCACUUGAUGUGGAAGAUAACAAUAGUACAGAAAGUACUGAUGAAGGAUCUAAGAAGACUCCACGGACUCCAAGACAUUCUAGAAAGAAAGUUGCUGCAGAUAUUGCGGACAAGAGCUCUAUGGAAAUGGUUACUAGUGCCAAUGAAGAAGAAAGCAGCACCGUGGUGACUUCUCCUGAAAGCUCUAAGAAAAUUAGUAGAAGAGGCCGGAAGAAAGCUAGUUCAUCGUCAAGCUCAGAGGAGGUGAAACUUGAAAAGAAAGCCACUAGGCGAAGGUCUUCAAAAAAGGUCAACAAAACAAAUGAGAGUAUGGAUAAAGAACUCGUUACUCAUGAGGAACUCAUAGAGACAAAAUUUCCCGGUAGUGAACAGCGGGAGCUGCAACUAGAAGAUGAUGGGGAGGAUAUCAGUUAUACUUAUGGUUGGCCACCUCUAGUUUGCUGCUUUGGAGCUGCACGAUAUGCAUUUAUACCUUCUGGAAGGCCAGCUCAUAGACUGAUAGACCACAAGAUCCAUGAGUUGAUGAAGGAUAUGUUCUGGUCACCAAAUAAAUUUGUAAGAGCACCUGGAGGGUCAUCGUCCAGUGUUGCUGUAGCUCUUGCAGCCAUAGGUGGUCGAGUUGCAUUCAUGGGAAAACUUGGGGAUGAUGAAUAUGGUCAAAACAUGCUGUAUUAUUUGAAUGUUAACAAUGUACAAACUCGAUCAGUCAAGCUUGACGGUUCAAAAUCUACAGCAACAUCCCAUAUGAAGAUUUCUAAAAGGGGCGGCCUACGACUGAGCUGUACAAGACCUUGUGCUGAAGAUAGUUUCUUGAUCUCUGACAUCAAUGUCGAUGUUCUCAAAGAGGUAUGCAGAAAGAAGGGGAGUAAACGUGUUGGUUGAGAUUGAUGUGCCCGGCCAUGCUCUCUCAUGGGGUGUGUGCUAUCCUGAUUUGUGGCCCUCAGCUGAAUGCCAAGAACCACUUGAUGUCAGUAAAGAGUUCACAUUCAAAGUAAUUGAAGGAAUUCUUUCUGAUAAAUUUUCUUCUUCUUGCUGUUUGCAUCUAAUACAAUACGGUUUCAGUGAUUUAGAUGUUAACAAGACUAGCCACACAUAAUAAUCAGGUUCCCAGAGGCACCUGACAAAUAAAGCCAGAACUAUCUACAAGAUUAACAGCAGAGUUUGAUCAUAUCUGCAAUUGAUAAUAUUGGAUGAAUACAAUACAGUGAAUUGAUACUUUUGAUGUGACUUCUUUUCUAAGAAUUUAUUCUCAAAGUUCAUGUUAUUUUUAGUUUAGAAAAGCAAGUUAGAUUAUCUUUCAUGAUGGUUGUUAGAUGAAUGACUAAUUCCUGAUUAAUGUUUCAGAUUUCACUAAGGUUUUCAAGUUCAGGUUUGUCCAUUUGGGGGGGGGGUGAUGAAGUUAACACAAGUAAGCUCAUACAUUUCCUGUUAAUUGUAAUAGCACCUCAUUUGUUUAUGCCUCAACAUGUUCUUUUUAGUCAUCAUGGUCAGUGGUGGGCAAACUUGAAACUUCUAGAGACAACGGAAACUAUCAAAUACUACUUCACUGAUUUAACUUUCUUUUUGGGUCAUUUCUUGACAUUUGAUCUUUACAAAGUCACUUUUCAUGUUUUCCUUUUGGACUUUAUUUUUCUACCAUUCAUGUUUCAUUUGAUGUCUCAUACAAAUAGCAAAAGAUGGCUUUAAGAAACAAUUGUUUUAGAAGUUUAGAUACUUCAAAUCAAAAGGUUUUGUUUUAAUUUUGGUUACUGGACCGAGACAUAUCGAGUCUCAAAAAAAGAUCUGAAGAAAAAAAAAGAAAAAAGGUUAGUGUCAUCCUAUGCCAGCUAUAUUGGGUGGUACAAGCCAUGUACCACACAUACCAUCCGGUUUACUCUGGUCCACGUACUAGUAGGUUAUGGAAUUGGUAAAUACCGCUCAUACCAAGCCACACCAGGUGAUAUUAUUAACUUUAAUUUAAUUUAAUAUUUUGAAGUAUGCAAGUGUUUCUUUUUUUUUUUUUUGCAUAAUAUACCGCUUUUGUUGUGGAUUUCAGGCUGCUGGACCAACACUCCUCGUAUAAUUGAAUGUGAGCUGUCGUAACUGAGCUGUCGUCAACCAUAUCACGCACACCAUUCCUCGAUGCUCCUCCGCAACGCUCGUAACUGAGCUGUCGUCAACCAUAUCACGCACACCACCAUCACCAUGACCAUGGGCUCUGGGUUCUUGCAAGAUAUGGGAUGCUACUGUUGCUGUCAGCACACGAUGAGUGCUGUUGUUUCGGAUAGCCUACCAAAUGGCAAGAAUGAUAAAGAUAUGGCUUGGUGGUGGAGUAGCACAGAAGGUGGUGGCGGCCGGAAUGAGAUGCAUUGUGAGCAACCAGGAGAAGUGGUACUUGGAUCACUUGGAUGUCCCAUGGCAGAAGUUCUACAUGAAUGAGCCCCUUACAAACAUC